rnacentral:rRNA from 1 species
AUGAGUUCCUGUCUCUCUCAUAUUAUUAAAGAUCAUUCCCUUGACUUUAUUGGUUUACAAGAGACCCAUAAAAGAAGUUUCAUGGGCAGUUUCUUUAGGAAAAUUGAUCCAUUCCAGACAUAUAAAUGGAAUUUUGUUCCAUCUAUAGGCAGAUCUCGGGGGAUUCUCUGUGGAGUAAAAAAAGAAAGAUUUGAAGGGGUGACAUGGAAGAAGGGAAAAUUUAUUCUGCAAGCCUCUUUCUAUGAUAACAAAGAAAAAAAGAACUGGACGUUAUGCAUUGUUUAUGGUGCUGCCCAUGACAGGGAUAAAGAAGAUUUCUUAACUGAACUUUCUGACUUCUGUAGUCAUAUAUCAACUCCAUUGCUGAUUGGAGGAGAUUUUAAUAUUCUUAGACAUGCAGGAGAAAAAACAAAAAGUGGCAACAUUCCCCUUAUUCUGAUCUGUUUAACUCUGUGA